rnacentral:RNase_P_RNA from 1 species
CAGGUUGGUUGGGCAAUCGCGGUUCUGCGUUGACGGAAUCGAGGAAAGUCCGCACUCCUAUAGAGCGCGACGUCGGAUAGCGUCCGGGGCGGGUAUAACCUGCCGGAACAGGGCCACAGAAACAUGUCGCUCUCUCUCUCCACGGACCCUCUCUUAUUGGGAGAGAGACAAGGGGAGAGGCGAGUCAGAGUGAAAAGGUGGUGUAAGAGACCACCAGCGCGCACAGCAAUGUGUGCGGCUAGGUAACCCCCGUCGGGAGCAAGGCCAAGCAGGAGCAAGUUCGUCUGUGGACGAUGGGAAACUGCUCGUUUCCAUACGCACCAUUUUCAAGCGUGAAAAUGGUCAGCUCCGGGUAGGCUGCAUUGAGCGGCAUGGCAACACGCCGCCCAGAGAGAUGAUUGCCCAAGCGACAUUGUCGCUGGACAGAAUGCGGCUUAUAGACCAGCCUGAGGC